GAUCAUGGCUCAGGAUGAACGCUAGCGACAGGCUUAACACAUGCAAGUCGAGGGGCAGCGGGGUGUAGCAAUACACCGCCGGCGACCGGCGCACGGGUGAGUAACGCGUAUGCAACUUGCCUAUCAGAGGGGGGAUAACCCGGCGAAAGUCGGACUAAUACCGCAUGAAGCAGGGAUCCCGCAUGGGAAUAUUUGCUAAAGAUUCAUCGGUGAUGGAUGGGGAUGCGU
rnacentral:rRNA from 1 species